GUUUGUUUCUGACACUGAAUACACCUGAUCUCAUUUCUGAUCUGCAAAGCUAAGCAGGGGUUGGGCCUGGGUUAGUAUUUGGAUGGGAGACUACCUGGGAAUACCAGGUGCUGUAAGCU
rnacentral:rRNA from 1 species